UACGUAGGGGGCAAGCGUUGUCCGGAUUUAUUGGGCGUAAAGAGCGUGUAGGCGGCCUGAAAGGUCAGCUGUGAAAACUCGAGGCUCAACCUCGAGACGUCGGUUGAAACCAUCUGGCUAGAGUCCGGAAGAGGAGUGUGGAAUUCCCGGUGUAGCGGUGAAAUGCGCAGAUAUCGGGAGGAACACCUGUGGCGAAAGCGGCCCACUGGACCACAACUGACGCUGAGGCGCGAAAGCUAGGGGAGCAAACAGG
rnacentral:rRNA from 1 species